AUUGAACGCUAGCGGGAUGCCUUACACAUGCAAGUCGAACGGAGUGGCGAACGGGUGAGUAAUGUAUCGGAACGUGCACAGUAGCGGGGGAUAACUACGCGAAAGCGUAGCUAAUCCCGCAUACUAUUGGAACAGCCGAUAUCGGAUUAGCUCGUGGGUGGGGUAACGGCUCACCAAGGCGAAGAUCCGUAGCUGGUUUGAGAGGACGGCCAGUCACACUGGGACUGAGACACGGCCCAGACUCCUACGGGAGGCAGCAGUGGGGAAUUUUGGACAAUGGGGGAAAGCCUGAUCCAGCCAUCCCGCGUGUGCGAUGAAGGCCUUCGGGUUGUAAAGCACUUUGGUCAGGAAAGCGUUACCUGCAGAAGAAGCACCGGCUAACUACGUGCCAGCAGCCGCGGUAAUAC
rnacentral:rRNA from 1 species